CUACGGGACGCAGCAGUGGGGAAUAUUGGACAAUGGGGGAAACCCUGAUCCAGCAAUGCCGCGUGUGUGAAGAAGGCCUGCGGGUUGUAAAGCACUUUCGGUUGGGAGGACUGCUUCUAGCACUAAUAUUGUUGGAAGUUGACGUUACCUUCAGAAGAAGCACCGGCUGAACUCCGUGCCAGCAGCCGCGGUAAUACGGAGGGUGCAAGCGUUAAUCGGAAUUACUGGGCGUAAAGCGCGCGUAGGCGGCUAGAUCAGUCGGGUGUGAAAGCCCCGGGCUUAACCUGGGAACUGCAUCCGAUACUGUCUAGCUUGAGUACAGGAGAGGAGAGUGGAAUUCCACAUGUAGCGGUGAAAUGCGUAGAUAUGUGGAGGAACACCAAUGGCGAAGGCAGCUCUCUGGCCUGAUACUGACGCUGAGGUGCGAAAGCGUGGGGAUCAAACAGGAUUAGAUACCCUGGUAGUC
rnacentral:rRNA from 1 species